ACGGGGGGAGCAAGCGUUGUUCGGAUUUACUGGGCGUAAAGGGCGCGUAGGCGGCCACCGCAAGUCGACUGUGAAAUCUCCGGGCUUAACCCGGAAAGGUCAGCCGAUACUGCGGGGCUAGAGUGCAGAAGGGGCAACUGGAAUUCUCGGUGUAGCGGUGAAAUGCGUAGAUAUUGGGAGGAACACCAGUGGCGAAGGCGGCUCACUGGACUGGUACUGACGCUGAGGCGCGAAAGCGUGGGGAGCAAACAGGA
rnacentral:rRNA from 1 species